UUAAAUACACUCAAACCCCAAGAGGGCAAUUCAACCUGAAAAGUUUCCCUCCAAAGUUAAGACAGAUUGUCCAACUAGUUUUCAAGUCCAGCAUAGAAUAUUAUCUUUGCCCGUAUUUCAGCUUACAAACCCUCUCUCAAUAUGUGUGUGUACACACACACACACACACACACACUUAUUUGUAGCUCUUUAUACACCAAAAACAAAGUUUUUGCUAUGUCAGCAUAAAGACUAGUGCAACAGAACUGAGAAAAUUGUCCUGUAAUACAGGGAAUAGACAGAAAGUUACAGAACAUGACUUCAGUCAGCAUGGUUGCACUUGGGUUGAUGAAAGAAAAGGAGAGAUGAAUGGGUUUAUAAAAGGGGUGGGGGUGAGAGGGAGAGAGAAGUUGAUUAAAAUCAUAGCUGGUGGGUCCUGAGUGGAAGAUAUGAAUUUGAGAGGAGAAAGGCCAGACCUGGUGCAGAACAACCAGGAUAAAAUACAGCUUUAAAGUACAAUUAGCAGAUGGCGGGCCAGACACUAUGCAUUUAAAGGAAGAAGUGAUAAUUAUAAACAGCUAAGCAGAGGAUGGAAAUCCAGAGGUGAUAAUGUGGUAUUGCUGAGAUGGGGAGGGGGUGGAACUCCUUGAAUCAAGUGCAAGAGGACAAAGCAUGCGGUCCACCAGCACCAGGGCAUAUUAAGUGAAAAAUCAGAGCAGACAGCUGUGGGUUUUCUUUUUUUGCUUUCAUUCUUAGGUCAAGUAUUAUUGCCACUGAAUUUCCCAGGUUGGAUUCUGCCUGACAUCCACCAAAGAAACUUUAUUGUUAGGAAAGUUAAAAAUCCCUUAAAACCAUAUUCUAGUCUUCUCUGUAUUUUCCUGACAAUAACUUUUGAUGCCAUAGACAUGACACUUAUUAUUUCCAUUCUCUAUCUCUGAAUAGGUGCUGGAAGGCUGUUUAUGCCAAGUAAUUUUAAUACUGACAAAACCAGGAAGCAUGGUUCAUUAGCAUGAUGGGUAAGAGCCGGAUACUAAUAAGCAAGGGCAGUAAAGCAAUGGUUCCCCGAGGUGGCUCUCCACCAGGAAUCAUCUGGUCAGAUUUUAAAAUUCCUCAUUCCAAGACUGCAUCCCAGGCAAGAUAAAGAAAAAUCUCUGGGGGUGAGAUGCCAGAUUUUGCUUUUGUUUGUUUGUUUGUUUACUUUGUAAGUUUGAGAACCUGUAACAUUGAGAAAUCCCUGUUUUCCAUUGACUUUGGUUAAUUCUAUGUCUAGUCCAUCCUGUUCAGUCCCUAGAUCUUGCCCAGUAGACCUAAGGGAGCUCCAGUGUCAAUGUUGUCAAAUUUGAACUAGUUCAUCUCCUUAUUGGGAAGAGUCACUCCAAGAACUGAGGACAUCAAAAGCUUGAUGAUAACAAAGGCCAAUGGAGGUGGCCUCAGAAAGCAAGAAGCAGAUCCAAGUUUGCAAAAGAAACUGCAACCCUGAAAUAAAC
rnacentral:lncRNA from 1 species